UUUCUUCAGACAAUGUCACUAAAGCCCCGUUCACACCGGGCUUGCAUACAGUUGCAUUGUGAUGUGUAUGGAGUACGCUGGAAAAUUGCGCAGCUUUGGCGUAGUCCCUAUGUAGACUGUUGUGUGAUUGCAUUCCUAGUCUUGCUU